rnacentral:rRNA from 1 species
AGAGUUUGAUCAUGGCUCAGAGUGAACGCUGGCGGCGUGCCUAAUACAUGCAAGUCGAACGUGAAAGUCCUUCGGGAUGAGUAAAGUGGCGCACGGGUGAGUAAUACGUGGGAACGUGCCCUAAGGUGGGGAAUAACUGUUGGAAACGACAGCUAAUACCGCAUAGUCUCGCAAGAGUAAAGGUGGCUUCCGCAAGGAGCUAUCGCCAUAGGAUCGGCCCAUGUCCCAUUAGCUAGUUGGCGGGGUAAUAGCCCACCAAGGCAACGAUGGGUAACUGGUCUGAGAGGAUGAUCAGUCACACUGGAACUGAGACACGGUCCAGACUCCUACGGGAGGCAGCAGUAGGGAAUAUUGCACAAUGGGGGAAACCCUGAUGCAGCAACGCCGCGUGAGUGAAGAAGGCCCUUGGGUUGUAAAGCUCUUUAGCUAGGGAAGAAGCUUUAUAUGGCUAAUAUCCAUGUAAGGUGACGGUACCUGGAGAAUAAGCACCGGCUAAUCUCGUGCCAGCAGCCGCGGUAAUACGAGAGGUGCAAGCGUUACUCGGAAUCACUGGGCGUAAAGCGCACGUAGGCGGAUUUGUAUGUCAAUUGUGAAAGCCCAAGGCUCAACCUUGGAAUCGCAGUUGAAACUGCAUUUCUUGAAUACUUGAGAGGGUGGGGGAAUACCUAGUGGAGAAGUGAAAUUCGUAGAGAUUAGGUGGAACACCAGAGGCGAAGGCGCCUGCCUGGCAAUGUAUUGACGCUGAGGUGCGAAAGUGCGGGGAGCAAACAGGAUUAGAUACCCCCGUAGUCC